CGAAAACGGUCUCAUCCUCUAAAGGCAUUUGUUCUGGUGCCACCUUUGUGAAUUGCAACGCAUCAUGGAAUUAAUUGAUUUCCCAGUUGAGAAACUUUAUAAUCUAAGAAAUUAGGAAUAUGCUACCAAUAUUGUUAACGACUAUUAAAGUGCCAGCAGUCGCGGUCAUACUUUAGUUAAAAAUAAACUUCAUUAGGACACGAAGAAAUAAUAAUUAUCCUGUAGUGAAAUACGGUCAAAUAUACCUAAAUAUCUCUAUUUUGACAAACACUGAUUACAGACAGGGAUUAGAUACCCCUUUAUGCAGUUAGUAACUCACGUCCUGGGCACUACAAUUAGCAGAUUGAAACCCAACGAACAUGGCGGUAAUUUAAAUAUUCAGGGGAACUUACUAAGUAAUUGAUAACCACCAAGAAUAUGUACGCUAAAUCACAUUUUACAUACCGUCGUCGUCAGAUCUAAUUAGAUAGAAUAUCAACAUAUUUACUUAAAUAAAAGGACAGAUCAAGGUGUAGACUAUUUUAACGUUUCAGCGAGUUACAAUAUUUUUUUUUUCCGUAAAAACACUAUAUAGUGUUAUAAAGUCGGACUUGAAAGUAAUAUUUAUAGGAAAUAAAAUGUGAAUAAUCUUAAAUUGUGC
rnacentral:rRNA from 1 species